CCUACGGGUGGCUGCAGUCGAGAAUCAUUCACAAUGGGGGAAACCCUGAUGGUGCGACGCCGCGUGGGGGAAUGAAGGUCUUCGGAUUGUAAACCCCUGUCAUGUGGGAGCAAAUUAAAAAGAUAGUACCACAAGAGGAAGAGACGGCUAACUCUGUGCCAGCAGCCGCGGUAAUACAGAGGUCUCAAGCGUUGUUCGGAAUCACUGGGCGUAAGGCGUGCGUAGGCUGUUUCGUAAGUCGUGUGUGAAAGGCGCGGGCUCAACCCGCGGACGGCACAUGAUACUGCGAGACUAGAGUAAUGGAGGGGGAACCGGAAUGCUCGGUGUAGCAGUGAAAUGCGUAGAUAUCGAGAGGAACACUCGUGGCGAAGGCGGGUUCCUGGACAUUAACUGACGCUGAGGCACGAAGGCCAGGGGAGCGAAAGGGAUUAGAUACCCGAGUAGUC
rnacentral:rRNA from 1 species